CCUACGGGUGGCAGCAGUGGGGAAUAUUGGGCAAUGGGCGAAAGCCUGACCCAGCAACGCCGCGUGAAGGAAGAAGGCUUUCGGGUUGUAAACUUCUUUUCUCAGGGACGAAGCAAGUGACGGUACCUGAGUAAUAAGCUACGGCUAACUUCGUGCCAGCAGCCGCGGUAAUACGUAGGGGGCAAGCGUUAUCCGGAUUUACUGGGUGUAAAGGGCGUGUAGGCGGGGAAGCAAGUCAGAUGUGAAAACCACGGGCUCAACCUGUGGCCUGCAUUUGAAACUGUGUUUCUUGAGUACUGGAGAGGCAGAUGGAAUUCCUAGUGUAGCGGUGAAAUGCGUAGAUAUUAGGAGGAACACCAGUGGCGAAGGCGAGCUGCUGGACAGCAACUGACGCUGAGGCGCGAAAGCGUGGGGAGCAAACAGGAUUAGAUACCCGAGUAGUC
rnacentral:rRNA from 1 species